rnacentral:rRNA from 1 species
UACGGGGGGGGUAAGCGUUGUUCGGAAUUACUGGGCGUAAAGGGCUCGUAGGCGGCCAACUAAGUCAGACGUGAAAUCCCCAGGCUCAACCUGGGAACUGCGUCUGAUACUGGAUGGCUUGAAUCCGGGAGAGGGAUGCAGAAUUCCAGGUGUAGCGGUGAAAUGCGUAGAUAUCUGGAGGAAUACCGGUGGCGAAGGCGGCAUCCUGGACCGGCAUUGACGCUGAGGAGCGAAAGCCAGGGGAGCAAACGGG